rnacentral:rRNA from 1 species
UACGGAGGAUGCGAGCGUUAUCCGGAUUUAUUGGGUUUAAAGGGUGCGUAGGCGGGAUGCCAAGUCAGCGGUAAAAAUGCGGUGCUCAACGCCGUCGAGCCAUUGAAACUGGCGUUCUUGAGUGGGCGAGAAGUAUGCGGAAUGCGUGGUGUAGCGGUGAAAUGCAUAGAUAUCACGCAGAACUCCGAUUGCGAAGGCAGCAUACCGGCGCCCUACUGACGCUGAGGCACGAAAGCGUGGGUAUCGAACAGG